rnacentral:rRNA from 1 species
UACAGAGGGUGCAAGCGUUAAUCGGAAUUACUGGGCGUAAAGCGUGCGUAGUCGGUUAUUUAAGUCGGGUGUGAAAGCCCCGGGCUCAACCUGGGAAUUGCAUUCGAUACUGGAUAGCUAGAGUUCGGCAGAGGGAAGCGGAAUUUCCGGUGUAGCGGUGAAAUGCGUAGAUAUCUGGAGGAACACCGGUGGCGAAGGCGGCAUCCUGGACCGGCAUUGACGCUGAGGCGCGAAAGCCAGGGGAGCAAACGGG